AUUGAACGCUGGCGGCAGGCCUAACACAUGCAAGUCGAGCGAGCGGCGGACGGGUGAGUAAUGUCUGGGAAACUGCCUGAUGGAGGGGGAUAACUACUGGAAACGGUAGCUAAUACCGCAUACCAUCAGAUGUGCCCAGAUGGGAUUAGCUAGUAGGUGGGGUAACGUCUCACCUAGGCGACGAUCCCUAGCUGGUCUGAGAGGAUGACCAGCCACAUGGGAAAUGGUACACGGUCCAGAGUCCUACGUGAGGCAGCAGUGGGGAAUAUUGCACAAUGGGCGCAAGCCUGGUGCAGCCAUGCCGCGUGUGUGAAGAAUGCCUUCGGGUUGUAAAGCACUUUCAGCGGGGAGGCGUUACCCGCAGAAGAAGCACCGGCUAACUCCGUGCCAGCAGCCGCGGUAAUUC
rnacentral:rRNA from 1 species